GGAGAUGGCCAGGUAAUCGCUGCUUUCGCUUGCGAAAGGGGAGGAAAGUCCGGGCUCCAUAGGGCAGGGUGCCAGAUAACGUCUGGGCGGCGUGAGCCGACGACAAGUGCAGCAGAGAGAAGACCGCCUAAG
rnacentral:RNase_P_RNA from 1 species